rnacentral:rRNA from 1 species
AUUGAACGCUGGCGGCAGGCCUAACACAUGCAAGUCGAACGAGUGGCGGACGGGUGAGUAAUGUCUGGGAAACUGCCCGAUGGAGGGGGAUAACUCCUGGAAACGGCAGCUAAUACCGCAUACCAUCGGAUGUGCCCAGAUGGGAUUAGCUUUUAGGUGGGGUAACGGCUCACCUAGGCGACGAUCCCUAGCUGGUCUGCGAGGAUGACCAGCCACACUGGAAAUGAGAAACGGUCGAGACUCCGACGGGAGGCAGCAGUGGGGAAUAUGGCAAAAUGGGCGAAAGCCUGAUGAAGCCAUGCCGCGUGGAGGAAGAAGGCCUUCGGGUUGUAAAGUACUUUCAGCGGGGAGGCGUUACCAGCAGAAGAAGCACCGGCUAACUCCGUGCCAGCAGCCGCGGUAAUAC